GAUGAACGCUGGCGGCGUGCCUAAUACAUGCAAGUCGAGCGAACAGACGAGGAGCUUGCUCCUCUGACGUUAGCGGCGGACGGGUGAGUAACACGUGGAUAACCUACCUAUAAGACUGGGAUAACUUCGGGAAACCGGAGCUAAUACCGGAUAAUAUAUUGAACCGCAUGGUUCAAUAGUGAAAGACGGUUUUGCUGUCACUUAUAGAUGGAUCCGCGCCGCAUUAGCUAGUUGGUAAGGUAACAGCUUACCAAGGCAACGAUGCGUAGCCGACCUGAGAGGGUGAUCGGCCACACUGGAACUGAGACACGGUCCAGACUCCUACGGGAGGCAGCAGUAGGGAAUCUUCCGCAAUGGGCGAAAGCCUGACGGAGCAACGCCGCGUGAGUGAUGAAGGUCUUCGGAUCGUAAAACUCUGUUAUUAGGGAAGAACAAAUGUGCAAGUAACUAUGCACGUCUUGACGGUACCUAAUCAGAAAGCCACGGCUAACUACGUG
rnacentral:rRNA from 1 species